CAGCCGCCGCGGUAAUACAGAGGAUGCGAGCGUUAAUCGGAUUUACUGGGCGUAAAGCGUGCGUAGGCGGCUUCUUAAGUCGGAUGUGAAAUCCCUGAGCUUAACUUAGGAAUUGCAUUCGAUACUGGGAAGCUAGAGUAUGGGAGAGGAUGGUAGAAUUCCAGGUGUAGCGGUGAAAUGAGUAGAGAUCUGGAGGAAUACCGAUGGCGAAGGCAGCCAUCUGGCCUAAUACUGACGCUGAGGUACGAAAGCAUGGGGAGCAAACAGGAUUAGAUACCCCAGUAGUCCCUGUCUCUUAUAA
rnacentral:rRNA from 1 species